GAUGAACGCUGGCGGCGUGCCUAAUACAUGCAAGUCGAGCGAACGGACGAGAAGCUUGCUUCUCUGAUGUUAGCGGCGGACGGGUGAGUAACACGUGGAUAACCUACCUAUAAGACUGGGAUAACUUCGGGAAACCGGAGCUAAUACCGGAUAAUAUUUUGAACCGCAUGGUUCAAAAGUGAAAGACGGUCUUGCUGUCACUUAUAGAUGGAUCCGCGCUGCAUUAGCUAGUUGGUAAGGUAACGGCUUACCAAGGCAACGAUGCAUAGCCGACCUGAGAGGGUGAUCGGCCACACUGGAACUGAGACACGGUCCAGACUCCUACGGGAGGCAGCAGUAGGGAAUCUUCCGCAAUGGGCGAAAGCCUGACGGAGCAACGCCGCGUGAGUGAUGAAGGUCUUCGGAUCGUAAAACUCUGUUAUUAGGGAAGAACAUAUGUGUAAGUAACUGUGCACAUCUUGACGGUACCUAAUCAGAAAGCCACGGCUAACUACGUGCCAGCAGCCGCGGUAAUACGUAGGUGGCAAGCGUUAUCCGGAAUUAUUGGGCGUAAAGCGCGCGUAUGCGGUUUUUUAGUCUGAUGUGAAAGCCCACGGCUCAACCGUGGAGGGUCAUUGGAAACUGGAAAACUUGAGUGCAGAAGAGGAAAGUGGAAUUCCAUGUGUAGCGGUGAAAUGCGCAGAGAUAUGGAGGAACACCAGUGGCGAAGGCGACUUUCUGGUCUGUAACUGACGCUGAUGUGCGAAAGCGUGGGGAUCAAACAGGAUUAGAUACCCUGGUAGUCCACGCCGUAAACGAUGAGUGCUAAGUGUUAGGGGGUUUCCGCCCCUUAGUGCUGCAGCUAACGCAUUAAGCACUCCGCCUGGGGAGUACGACCGCAAGGUUGAAACUCAAAGGAAUUGACGGGGACCCGCACAAGCGGUGGAGCAUGUGGUUUAAUUCGAAGCAACGCGAAGAACCUUACCAAAUCUUGACAUCCUUUGACAACUCUAGAGAUAGAGCUUUCCCCUUCGGGGGACAAAGUGACAGGUGGUGCAUGGUUGUCGUCAGCUCGUGUCGUGAGAUGUUGGGUUAAGUCCCGCAACGAGCGCAACCCUUAAGCUUAGUUGCCAUCAUUAAGUUGGGCACUCUAAGUUGACUGCCGGUGACAAACCGGAGGAAGGUGGGGAUGACGUCAAAUCAUCAUGCCCCUUAUGAUUUGGGCUACACACGUGCUACAAUGGACAAUACAAAGGGCAGCGAAACCGCGAGGUCAAGCAAAUCCCAUAAAGUUGUUCUCAGUUCGGAUUGUAGUCUGCAACUCGACUACAUGAAGCUGGAAUCGCUAGUAAUCGUAGAUCAGCAUGCUACGGUGAAUACGUUCCCGGGUCU
rnacentral:rRNA from 1 species